UCUUACUCAUCUUUGUUACAAACCAGAAAUUACAGUUUCCUUUAUUAUGCUCUGUCGCUUUUUUCUAGAUUGUACAAAUCCUUCAUGACUUUAAAAUUAGCUAUGUUAAGUAUCCAAAGAAUUUUUUUUAUUUUUAUCGUUUUUGAGAUGUAUGUUUGCACAAAUCCUUGGAUUGCCUCUUCACAUGAUUCAGCUAGACAUUGCUUUAUUUUGUUUGUUUUUUAUAUUAUAGGCUCAACAAUUAGGUUUGGUUUUCACAAUAAACAUGGAAAACUAUCUUAACCUCAUAAUCUCUCUAGAUUGAGCUGAUUACGUCUCCCUUACCAUUCAUAGCCCCGCUUGGUCUAGAACGAGCUCCCCUCAGGGCAGGAGUGUAUCGAGCAUAUCCAAAAACCAGUUACAUAAAAGGCCAUCGCAUUGUGGAGCUCUUCAUCUGCUUGAUGAACUUUCAUUGAAUUGUCUUUUUAUUUUGAAGUCUUCCAUUGUAGAUUUUAUUUUUUACUAUCAUGUUAGUAAGUCAGAUAAAUAAUGUUUCAAAUUACAUCAUGGUUGUUUUUAUUAUCUUUUGAUUCUUAAAUGAAUAUGGCUUAAAUA